GGUCAGAUCUCCUUCCCUUUAAAAACGAGGCUGCCCUCCCUAUCCUCUUCGCUCUUAUCAGGGAAAUCCCCAAAUCUCAAUCUUACCCUUCUGACCUUCUCAACCAUCUACCAAACCCUAACCCACGGCGGAGCGGCUCCCUCCUUUUCUCUCUGUCGGUGGUCCUGUCCUUCCGGCAAGAUCAGUCUCCCCGACCUGAGAUCUUCCGACCGGCGCGUCGGGUUUCGAACAAAGGAGGCGCGUGGCUUCCACGCUCUAUGUAAAUUCAUGUGUUCUUGGUCACUCGAAUUCGGAAACCUCAGCCGCCGGGGCUGUACCGGAAGUCUACUGGACUCAUGGCUUUCGGCGUGGCAUGUACAUAGCACAGAACGACGAAUCUACGGUCUAGAUCAUGCCCUUUGCCAUCCCGGUCAGAUCUCCUUCCCUUUAAAAACGAGGCUGCCCUCCCUAUCCUCUUCGCUCUUAUCAGGGAAAUCCCCAAAUCUCAAUCUUACCCCUCUAACCUUCUCAACCCUCUACCAAACCCUUCCGGCAAGAUUAAUCUCCUUAUCUCUCUCUGUCGGUGGUCCUGUCUUUCCGGCAAGAUUAGUCUCCCCGACCUGAGAUCUUCCGACCGGCGCGUCGGGUUUCAAACAAAGGAGGCGCGUGGUGUUCACGCUCUAUGUAAAUUCAUGUGUUCUUGGUCACUCGAAUUCGGAAACCUCAGCCGCCGGGGCUGUACCGGAACUCUACUGGACUCAUGGCUUCAGCUGUGCUAGCUAAUCAGAGCGAACCGAGCUGGAUGCAGGCACAGCCGGCCGGCGGGGCCAAGCUAAUGGGCAAAUACCCCUUCUCCAACUCCAACCCUAGCAACCCUAACCCUCAAUUCUCUAAGAAACGGCAUCUUCAGGCGUUGCCUUUCGCCGAGGUAGAUGAAUCUCCGGCGUUCACACAAUCUGCGGCAUCUGACGACGCGUCAUCAAUUAAUCGGAAACCUAACGAUUUCAUCACUGGGCGAUACGUCACCUUCAAUGUCGCUUCGUAUUCAAAGAAGGAGCUUGUGGACCUGAAGGAUCGGUUGGUUGCCGAGCUUGAGCAGAUCCGACAAUUGGAGAGCCGCAUCAAUUCGUCGUCCGACUCCCAGAUCAGAUCCGGCUCAAAUUUUCACAACAAGAAACCAAUUGGUGGUCCGAACAGCAACAAGAAGAUACUGGGAAACAAGCGGCCCUUCCCUGCUACUAAUUCGAGUUUUGGGGUUCAGGAAUUGAAGAGAUCACACAACCACCAAGAUAACUCGCAAUUGAUGAAGAAGUGCAGCCAGAUCUUGUCCAAAUUAAUGAAGCACAAGUACGGGCACAUCUUCAACGUGCCGGUAGACAUUGUUGGAUUGCAGCUUCACGAUUAUAACGACAUAAUCAAACAGCCGAUGGAUUUGGGCACAGUGAGGAAGAAAUUGGGGAAAAAUCUAUACAUUUCGCCUCUGGAUUUUGCCGCAGACGUGAGAUUGACCUUCAAUAAUGCCAUGCGGUACAAUCCCAAAGGUCACGAGGUUUACGCAAUUGCAGAGGAUUUUCUCUCUAGAUUUGAAGGACUGUUCCAUCCCAUCAAGGAUAUGCUGGGUGAUGAGGAGAUCCACGAAGAAGAAGAGCUCGAGCUCGCUCAAGAAGUACAGGACAGUUCUUGGGAUCAUCAUAACCAUCACAGGGGAAUGAUUGAGACUGAAAGUGUAGUACCACCGAAAGAGCAAGGGGCAAUGAUGCAAGUUAUGGCAAAAUCCGAGCAAAUUGGUACAAACUCGAUUCCCCCACCACCUACUUCUGCAUCCAGUCAAAACCCUAAUCCUCCUCAAUCAACAUCUCAACAAUUGCCUGUGAGGACGCCAUCUCCGAGGCGUGCUCCACAAGUGAAGCCUGUGAAGCUUCCGAAGCCAAAGGCAAAAGAUCCUAAUAAGAGGGAGAUGAGUCUGGAAGAGAAGCACAAAUUAGGAGUAGGUCUGCAGAGCAUGCCUCCGGAGAAGAUGGACCAAGUGGUUCAAAUAAUAAGGAAGAGGAAUGGGCAUUUGAGGCAGGACGGGGAUGAGAUUGAGCUUGAUAUUGAAGCAGUAGACACAGAGACUCUUUGGGAACUUGAUCGAUUCGUCACUAAUUACAAAAAAAUGGUAAGCAAGCUUAGGCGUCAAGCACUGAUUCUCCCUAACAUUGGGGGAACUGAAGGCAACAAGGUAUUUUCUUUAUCCACUUCAGUUAAGAACCUGUGACUUGCUUUUCUUUAGGUUUGCUUUCCGUAAUUUGCCUUUGUUGGUUCUAUUGUGG
rnacentral:lncRNA from 1 species